rnacentral:antisense_RNA from 1 species
CUUGAUGGAACCCAGCCACAGCGGACGGCCCGCGGGCCGGUCCUGCCCGUACGUCGCCAGCAGCGCCUGCGCCUC